rnacentral:rRNA from 1 species
CCGUAGCCCAAGAGAUCGGGAUAACACCUGGAAACAGAUGCUAAUACCGGAUAACAACAGAUGAUGCCUAUCAACUGUUUAAAAGAUGGUUCUGCUAUCACUCUUGGAUGGACCUGCGGUGCAUUAGCUAGUUGGUAGGGUAACGGCCUACCAAGGCGAUGAUGCAUAGCCGAGUUGAGAGACUGAUCGGCCACAUUGGGACUGAGACACGGCCCAAACUCCUACGGGAGGCAGCAUU